UAUAUUUUUUUAUUUUGGUUUAGGCUCAGAUUGAACGCUAGCGGGAUCCAUUACACAUGCRAGUCGAGCGGCAGCAGGGUCUUCGGUAUGGGGGGGAGUGGGGACGGGGUAAGUAAUGUAUCGGAUCGUGCCUAGUAGGGGGGGAUACAUACGGGAAAGCGUAGUUAAUCCCCCAUACCCCCUCGGGGGGAAAGCAGGGGAUCGUAAGCCUUUGCACUAUUAGAGCGCCCGAUAUCGGAUUAGUUAGUUGGUGGGGUAACGGUUCACCAAGGGGACGAUCCGUAGUUGUUUUGAGAGGACGUCCACCCCCCCUGGGAUUGAGCCCCGGCCCAGAUUCUUCCGGGAGCCACCAGUGGGGAAUUUUGGCCAAUGGGGGAAACCCUGAUCCACCCAUCCCGGGUGUGGGAUGAAGCCCUUCGGGUUGUAAACCACUUUUGUCAGGAAAGAAACGUUCCUGGUUAAUACCCCGGGAAGCUGCCGGUCCUUGCAGAAUAAGCCCCGGUUAAUUCCGUGCCACCACCCGCGGUAAUAGGUAGGGUGCAAGCGUUAAUCGGAAUUAUUGGGGGUAAAGCGUGCCCAGGCGGUUCGGAAAGAAAGAUGUGAAAUCCCAGAGCUUACCUUUGGAUAUCCAUUUUUAACUACCGAGUUAGAUUGUGUCAGAGGGAGGUGGAAUUCCGGGUGUAGCAGUGAAAUGGGUAGAUAUGCGGAGGAACCCCGAUGGGGAAGGCACCCUCCUGGGAUAACACUGCCGUUCAUGCAGGAAAGCGUGGGGACCAACCAGGAUUAGAUCCCUUGGUAGUCCCCCCCUUAACCAAGGUCAAUUAGAUGUUGGGGCCUUCGGCCCUUGGUAGCGCAGCUAACGCAUGAAGUUGACCGCUUGGAGU
rnacentral:rRNA from 1 species